AACGAACGCUGGCGGCAGGCUUAACACAUGCAAGUCGAGCGCCCCGCAAGGGGAGCGGCAGACGGGUGAGUAACGCGUGGGAAUCUACCCAUCUCUACGGAAUAACGCAUGGAAACGGGUGCUAAUACCGUAUACGUCCUUCGGGAGAAAGAUGUAUCGGAGAUGGAUGAGCCGGCGUGGGAUUUGCUAGUUGGUGGGGUAAAGGCCUACCAAGGCGACGAUCCAUAGCUGGUCGGAGAGGAUGAUCAGCCACGCUGGGACUGAGACACGGCCCAGACUCCUACAGGAGGCAGCAGUGGGGAAUAUUGGACAAUGGGCGCAAGCCUGAUCCAGCCAUGCCGCGUGAGUGAUGAAGGCCCUAGGGUUGUAAAGCUCUUUCACCGGUGAAGAUAAUGACGGUAACCGGAGAAGAAGCCCCGGCUAACUUCGUGCCAGCAGCCGCCGUAAGAC
rnacentral:rRNA from 1 species